rnacentral:tRNA from 2 species
CGCUAAGUAGCUAAACCGGCCCAAAGCGUUAGCCUUUUAAGCUAAAAACUGGUGACUGCCCCCCACCCUCAGCGA